rnacentral:lncRNA from 1 species
GACAAUUUUGAAAUUGCUCUCAAUUCCACAAUUCUGUUCAUGAAAUGUAAUUUUUGCUAUAUAUGGAUUGCUUGAGUUCUUAAAUUAUGGAAAAUAUAAAAAAAUUUGAAAAUAGUAAAUUUUGCUAUCCAGGGGGGUGGUCAACUUUUGCUCUCCUAAAGGUGGCUUGCGCACGGAAAUGACAAACGGUAUUCUUUAUUUGAGUUUAUGUAUGAAAAGUUCGCUAUUUGUUGCAUUUGUGAUAAAAUUUCGGCAGGAUUUUACCGAGUACAAAUCCUCCGAAAAGCCUAUGAAAACGUUACAUUUUUCUCUGUUGGUGCUGUUCUUGCUUCAUUAUGAAUUCAUUUUUACUCCCAUGAGAGUUCCGUGGAAUUUCCAUGGAAUUUGUGCUUUCGAG